rnacentral:tRNA from 2 species
GUUUUCGUGGUGUAGCGGUUAUCACAUCUGUCUAACACACAGAAGGUCCCCGGUUCGAUCCCGGGCGAAAACA